rnacentral:rRNA from 1 species
GGCUCAGAUUGAACGCUGGCGGCAUGCCUUACACAUGCAAGUCGAACGGCAGCGGACCUUCGGGUGCCGGCGAGUGGCGAACGGGUGAGUAAUAUAUCGGAACUACCGGGUUUCAGUGGGGAUAACGUAGCGAAAGUUACGCUAAUACCGCAUAUUCUGUGAGCAGGAAAGCAGGGGAUCGCAAGACCUUGCGCUGAUUGAGCGGCCGAUAUCAGAUUAGCUAGUUGGUGAGGUAAAGGCUCACCAAGGCGACGAUCUGUAGCGGGUCUGAGAGGAUGAUCCGCCACACUGGAACUGAGACACGGUCCAGACUCCUACGGGAGGCAGCAGUGGGGAAUUUUGGACAAUGGGCGCAAGCCUGAUCCAGCCAUGCCGCGUGAGUGAAGAAGGCCUUCGGGUUGUAAAGCUCUUUCGGCCGGGAAGAAAUCGCACAGGUUAAUACCCUGUGUGGAUGACGGUACCGGAAUAAGAAGCACCGGCUAACUACGUG